rnacentral:rRNA from 1 species
UACGUAGGUGGCAAGCGUUGUCCGGAUUUACUGGGCGUAAAGAGCGCGCAGGCGGUCGUUCAAGUCGCGUGUGAAAGCCCCCGGCUCAACUGGGGAGGGUCACGCGAUACUGAUCGACUCGAAGGCAGGAGAGGGUAGUGGAAUUCCCGGUGUAGUGGUGAAAUGCGUAGAUAUCGGGAGGAACACCAGUGGCGAAGGCGGCGUCCUGGACUGGUACUGACGCUCAGGAGCGAAAGCGUGGGGAGCGAUCCGG